rnacentral:lncRNA from 1 species
GAAGAGACUUUCAGCUCCCCGUGUUCAGGUUGUCAUCCCCAGUGUGACGGGUCCAGCCAGGGGAGUGGAUGAAAGCUGAAAUCACAUCACCAGGAACAGAUCCUUCAGGAGGGCCUCCAGCCUGGGACACAACGAGGUGUUUCCUCCUGUAAGAGAUGCACGGGAUUGAAGACAGAUCAUCUUGCUGUAUAUUCUCUUGUUCUCAUUUAGUAGGAAUCCAGAUUCAUGGUGCACGGUCUUAGAAGGACACUUAGAAGCUUCUGAGAGAUGUGGCCUUGCUCUUGAUGAUAAUGCUCCAGAGCCACAGAAAUGUGAGGACUUCCCUGGAGAUCAUGGUGACGGCGGGUCCUGAUGGUGAGCAACAGUCUCUCCUGUCUUUGGAUCUCAGUGAAUGUACUCCCAGGGUACGGUUUCCCACAGUCAGUAUUUAAACACCAUCAGGGUCUUUAAACAGGGUGCAUCGUGUAAGCUCAAGCACAGCGGUAUGAAGGCAGCAUUACUAAGAGAGACAAACGUUGCCUUUCAGUCUUCACCGUAUUUCUACUUGUGAUGGACCCACAGCCUGAUCAUACUGAAGAUUCUCCAUCAGAGGAAGUUUAGCUUCCUGGAAACCAAGAGAGGCAGGGCCUUGGGGUCUUCUCUCUUUCUGGAACCCCCAUUAUGUGCACAGACCAUAGGGCGAACUGAGCAGCUCCAUCUGAGCAGGUUCCCUGUCAGCAGUCGAUAGACAAACUUUUGUAUGUGCGGCACUAAACACUGCUGCUUCUCUGACUACUCAGUGAGAGAAAUAAACACGUGGAAGCGAGCCUGGAGAACA